UACGAAGGGGGCUAGCGUUGCUCGGAAUUACUGGGCGUAAAGCGCACGUAGGCGGCUCUUUAAGUCGGGGGUGAAAUCCUGGAGCUCAACUCCAGAACUGCCUUCGAUACUGAAGAGCUCGAGUCCGGGAGAGGUGAGUGGAACUGCGAGUGUAGAGGUGAAAUUCGUAGAUAUUGGGAAGAACACCGAUGGCGAAGGCAGCCAUCUGGACCGACACUGACGCUGAGGCGCGAAAGCGUGGGGAGCAAACAGG
rnacentral:rRNA from 1 species